AACGCACAUUGCGCCCGCCAGCAUUCUGGCGGGCAUGCCUGUCCGAGCGUCAUUUCCCCCCUCAGCACGCCCUUUGGGUGCGCUGGCGUUGGGGCUCCUCCGCCCUCUGUGGCGGCAGGGCCCUCAAAUCCAGUGGCGGGCCCGUCUGGUUGGCUCCGAGCGCAGUACCGAACGCAAGUUCUCUCUCUCGCCCUGCAGCCCCGGCCGGCGCCCAGCCGUCAAGCCGCGCAGGCGACCCUCUCGAGGGCCGCCUCGCAUUUUUACAAGGUUGACCUCGGAUCAGGUAGGAUUACCCGCUGAACUUAA
rnacentral:misc_RNA from 1 species